AUGCAUGAGUUAACUAAGGAAAACAUUGAGCGCAUGAAUGCUAAAUAUAAACUUGCUGGAGAUAAGGGUAGAAAACAUGUUGUGUUUGCACCUGGAGAUCUUGUUUGGUUACAUUUGCGUAAGGAUAGAUUUCCUGAUUUGCGCAAAUCAAAGUUAAUGCCACGUGCUGAUGGUCCCUUUAAGGUGUUAGAGAAAAUAAAUGAUAAUGCAUAUAAACUUGAGCUGCCUGCAGAUUUUGGGGUUAGUCCCACUUUUAACAUUGCAGAUUUGAAGCCUUAUUUGGGUGAGGAAGAUGAACUUCCGUCGAGGACGACUUCAUUUCAAGAAGGGGAGGAUGAUGAGGACAUCAAUACAAUUGUUACACCCACAGCCCCUGCUGCUAUACAUACUGGACCAAUUACUAGAGCUCGUGCACGCCAACUAAAUUACCAGGUACUUUCGUUUCUUGGUAAUGAUUCUAAUGUUCAUGAGAAUAUGAUGCUGCCUAAAUUGGAUACAUUUGUUUUGCUUACAAAUGAAGGGCCUAGCUUGGAGAAGGAUGAACAUUGGAGCAAGAACAAGCAUGGAGAUGAUGGCAUGCGCAAGGGAAACAAGAACGGAGUUACAAGUGAUGAUUUCAGGACUUUGAAGCCACCAUAA
rnacentral:rRNA from 1 species